rnacentral:rRNA from 1 species
UACGAAGGGGGCUAGCGUUGUUCGGAAUCACUGGGCGUAAAGCGCGCGCAGGCGGUCUUCCAAGUCAGUGGUGAAAGCCCGGAGCUCAACUCCGGAACUGCCAUUGAAACUGUUAGACUUGAGGAUGAGAGAGGUGAGUGGAAUUCCCAGUGUAGAGGUGAAAUUCGUAGAUAUUGGGAAGAACACCGGUGGCGAAGGCGGCUCACUGGCUCAUUUCUGACGCUCAGGCGCGACAGCGUGGGGAUCAAACAGG